CGAUGAACCGCUUUCGGGCGGGGAUUAGUGGCGAACGGGUGAGUAACACGUGGGCAAUCUGCCCUGCACUCUGGGACAAGCCCUGGAAACGGGGUCUAAUACCGGAUAUGACUGUCCAUCGCAUGGUGGAUGGUGUAAAGCUCCGGCGGUGCAGGAUGAGCCCGCGGCCUAUCAGCUUGUUGGUGAGGUAGUGGCUCACCAAGGCGACGACGGGUAGCCGGCCUGAGAGGGCGACCGGCCACACUGGGACUGAGACACGGCCCAGACUCAUACGGGAGGCAGCAGUGGGGAAUAUUGCACAAUGGGCGAAAGCCUGAUGCAGCGACGCCGCGUGAGGGAUGACGGCCUUCGGGUUGUAAACCUCUUUCAGCAGGGAAGAAGCGAAAGUGACGGUACCUGCAGAAGAAGCGCCGGCUAACUACGUGCCAGCAGCCGCGGUAAUACGUAGGGCGCAAGCGUUGUCCGGAAUUAUUGGGCGUAAAGAGCUCGUAGGCGGCUUGUCACGUCGGUUGUGAAAGCCCGGGGCUUAACCCCGGGUCUGCAGUCGAUACGGGCAGGCUAGAGUUCGGUAGGGGAGAUCGGAAUUCCUGGUGUAGCGGUGAAAUGCGCAGAUAUCAGGAGGAACACCGGUGGCGAAGGCGGAUCUCUGGGCCGAUACUGACGCUGAGGAGCGAAAGCGUGGGGAGCGAACAGGAUUAGAUACCCUGGUAGUCCACGCCGUAAACGGUGGGCACUAGGUGUGGGCAACAUUCCACGUUGUCCGUGCCGCAGCUAACGCAUUAAGUG
rnacentral:rRNA from 1 species